GAUGAACGCUGGCGGCGUGCCUAAUACAUGCAAGUCGAGCGAACAGACGAGGAGCUUGCUCCUCUGACGUUAGCGGCGGACGGGUGAGUAACACGUGGAUAACCUACCUAUAAGACUGGGAUAACUUCGGGAAACCGGAGCUAAUACCGGAUAAUAUAUUGAACCGCAUGGUUCAAUAGUGAAAGACGGUUUUGCUGUCACUUAUAGAUGGAUCCGCGCCGCAUUAGCUAGUUGGUAAGGUAACGGCUUACCAAGGCAACGAUGCGUAGCCGACCUGAGAGGGUGAUCGGCCACACCGGAACUGAGACACGGUCCAGACUCCUACGGGAGGCAGCAGUAGGGAAUCUUCCGAAAUGGGCGAAAGCCUGACGGAGCAACGCCGCGUGAGUGAUGAAGGUCUUCGGAUCGUAAAACUCUGUUAUUAGGGAAGAACAAAUGUGUAAGUAACUAUGCACGUCUUGACGGUACCUAAUCAGAAAGCCACGGCUAACUACGUG
rnacentral:rRNA from 1 species